AGCGAACGCUGGCGGCAGGCUUAACACAUGCAAGUCGAGCGGGCGUAGCAAUACGUCAGCGGCAGACGGGUGAGUAACGCGUGGGAACGUACCUUUUGAUUCGGAACAACACAGGGAAACUUGUGCUAAUACCGGAUAAGCCCUUACGGGGAAAGAUUUAUCGCCGAAAGAUCGGCCCGCGUCUGAUUAGCUAGUUGGUGAGGUAAUGGCUCACCAAGGCGACGAUCAGUAGCNGGUCUGAGAGGAUGAUCAGCCACAUUGGGACUGA
rnacentral:rRNA from 1 species